rnacentral:lncRNA from 1 species
GCGUAGUUCGGGUGUAACGAAACUAGGCCUGUGACACUCUGCUCUUUAUAUGAAGACGAAUACCUCCACAAAUUUUUAUCCUCUUCAUCUUAUCCCUCCCUCUCUCUCUGGAAACUACUUUCAUUAUUCGAUUUCACAAGAGCCUAGUUCCGCUUUCUGAUCAGGUAAUUCUACUGUUUAAUUUUACAAAUUUGAGAUGAUCAAGUAAUUCUCCUUUCUAUUUAUUAUGGGUAUUAGAAUCGUAUGUAGGAACUGUAUGCAAAAGUGUAGAACCGUGUAGUCUGAUUGUUUGAUCCAGAAUAUGAAUGAGAAAGAUGAUCAGAUUAUAUAUAUUUGCUCUGAUACCAUAUUAGAGACGAAUGGAGGAGUGAACUGAAUUUCAUUGAUCAUCUAUUCAGUGAAAAGCGUAUGUACAAAGAUGUAUAAAUAGCAUUUAAAGUUGGCACCAAAAAUAUAUGCCAGCUGGAUAACAGCACGACAACUUGGAACCAGCUGAGCCAACUAACAAGGAAACUAACCAAUCGAAAAUAAGACUACACGGUUCAACACUUCUGCAUACAAUUCCUACAUACAAUUCUAAUAAUGGGAAUUUUGUCUUUCUUGAUUUUUUUGAAAGAUUGACAAAAUUACGUUUUUCAUUUUAGCACAACCAAGAAAGGUGAUGACGGUUGAAUCUUUUGUGGAAAACCGAAAAGAUGUCGGUUUUGAUCAAGAAGAAAUAUUAUAUCAAUUAAAUAUCAAUUUACUAAGUGCUUGUUUGAUGGAGAUUUUAAUAAUUGAUUUUUUUGACCGUUAGAAAAAAAUGAGUCCUACCCGUGAGAGAAGAAUUAAAAAAUGACGGCUGGAAUAAUGCAAUAAUAGUGAAAAAAUUGUUUUUAAUUGACUUAAAAUCUAAACCAAACAAGCUCUAAACAACAUAUAAGGAACAUGGAAUUUUUCUCCAUAACCAAAUUGCAGUGAGGGUACUUCAUAGCCAAUUUCAUUUUUCCUUUUUCUUUUGGCAAAAUAUAUUAGUGCAUUUUAGUACUUUAUAUUUCAAAUUUUAAUGGUGAUAGUUGACUCAAUUGUCUACUUUUUUAAAUAAGAUUGAAUUUUAAUGAGAUGAGUGUAAAAGAAAAAAAUAUUUAAAUUGAAAUUCUCUAUGGGAUAUGUAUACAAGUAUAUCAAGAUUCUACACUUUGUGGAAUGAAAACAAUAGCCCUAGAGCAUUUCCAAGAGACUUUAAAUUAUGUGUCAAAUAUAAAGAGCAUGUUGGAGUAUUUCAAAAUUUUCAUUCUCUAAAUUUAUAGAUAUUUUCCAGAUGAUAUAAUAUGCUCUUUAAAAAUUGAGUCGCUUUGUUGCUGAAAUUGGUAAAGAAUCUCAAAAUGAGUUCUCUGAAGAUGAAAAAUCACCGAUAAUGAGGAAAUACGAUCUGGUUGGCGAGAGGUAAAUUGUCCUUUUCCAUUCUUUUCGCCAAUUCAUGAGUAAAUGCUUCUUGUUAUAGUUCGUAUGAUUGCAGAAUUGUGUUCGAGAAACUUAUCCUGAUUAUUGUGAUCAAAUGGUUAUUGAUGGUUGAGAGAGUACCUGGUAGAACUGCUGAGGAACUUGACUGCUGAGGAACUUGAAAAGUACUGAAAUUCUAGAUAUUCCAUAAAUCAACGAUACACUGAGAAACAUUUGAAUUGCAAAUGUCCAGGAAAAACAGUAAUAUAUGUAUGAAUUUUGAAUUCUUAUGGCGGAGGAACACAGAAAGUUGCUACUUUUGCCAUGAAGGAAUUUGUUAAAAUGCCGAGUGGAGAUCCAUGUUCCGGCAGGGCCAAUAGAGCCCAUAUUUAUUUGUAUGUUCUUUUUUACUUUUUUCGAGAAUUACUAGUUCACCAUCAAUGAAAAUUGUGAGACUGCAUGUAAUGCUUGUAUCUAUACGAAGAGAU